UGGAUUUCAUUUAUUAUUUGGGUCUAACCAAAUUUAAUUUGGUAGGAGAUCAAGUUUGAACCAAAAAUCUAGACUCCAAACUAGUUUGGACUCUCCCUUGCGCCACCCCACUUAGACACCCGACUUUCUUUUCACGCAAAUCAGAUUUGCACAAGUUUUUUCUUCAUGCCCCAAGUGAUUGUCACCCCUCUCUUCUCCAUGCAUAGGAUGGGAUA
rnacentral:lncRNA from 1 species